rnacentral:rRNA from 1 species
CGUGAGAUGUCGGGUUAAGUCCCUUAACGAGCGAAACCCUUGUCUCUAGUUGCCAGCGAGUCAUGUCGGGGACUCUAGAGAGACUGCCGGUGUUAAACCGGAGGAAGGCGGGGAUGACGUCAAGUCCUCAUGGCCUUUAUGGCCUGGGCUGCACACGUCCUACAAUGGCAUGUACAAAGGGAAGCAAGCUCGCGAGAGCAAGCAAAUCCCAAAAAGCGUGCCCCAGUUCGGAUUGCAGGCUGCAACUCGCCUGCA